GCUCCGGUGGUGGAACUGGUAGACACAAGGGACUUAAAAUCCCUCGGCAGCAAUGUCAUGAGGGUUCGACCCCCUCCUGGAGCA
rnacentral:tRNA from 1 species